UCAAAUUCAGUCGAUAAGAAAGGAUAUUAACAAAGGCAAGCCAAGCUAGUGGAAGUGGACAGUGUUGAGGAAAGGAAGUAAAUAAUGGCACUGUUGAGGAAUACUGCAGUGCUUCUCAAUCACCAUAACUAUGAUGGACCCCUUCCAUGGGCUGUUUCUUCUUCUUCUUCUUGUUUCCGUGUGGUUUGUGUCAAUGGGUCAUGGCGAAAUACAUUCCCAUUUCCUAUCUUCAAGUCUUCCACUAAACGACCUCCCAUUCCCAAUGUCAACUCACAGAAGCACCAGCAACCACAACAAGAGGAAGAAGACGAAGAAUAUCAAGUACUAACCUCAAUUAAAAGCAACUACAACGACAUUAUGAUUUUGGACACUGCAAAAUCCAGAGUUCUACUUCUUGAUUCUUCUUAUAAUGUUCAUAGCAUUCUUUACAAGCACCAGAAAUGGACCAAUUCCUACUGGGAUGAAUUUGCUAGCUUGCCACCUAUUAUUCCAAAGGGUCCCAUUGCCAUUCUUGGAUUGGGUGGUGGAACUGCUGCUCAUUUGAUGCUUGAUUUGUGGCCUGAAUUACAGCUCGAAGGCUGGGAAAUCGAUCAAAUACUGAUUGAUAAAGCGAGAGAACAUUUUGCACUUUCUGAUCUUGAGAAGCAUACAAAUGCUGGUGGUAUACUUACAGUUCAUGUUGGUGAUGCCUUUUCUCCCUCAGUUAAUGUUUCUGGAAGAUAUGCUGGUGUUAUUGUUGACUUGUUUUCUAAUGGAGAAGUUUUGGCACAAUUGCAAGAGGUCACAACAUGGUCGAAUUUAAAUAACUGGUUAAUGCCAGGAGGUCGUAUCAUGGUGAAUUGUGGUGGGACUAGUGCGCCAUCAGAAAAUGUCUUGUGGAUGCAGAAUUCUACAAUCAAGGCAUUAUCUAUAGCUUUCCCGGAACAAAUAAGCUGGAAAAAAAUGGGAAAAGAAAAUGGUGCAAAUUAUCUUGCCCUUACAGGACCAAUACCCGAUUUAGAGUCAUGGUCCACAAUGGUACCAGAGCCUCUGAGCAACAGUGUAAGGCAAUGGAAGUCAUGUGAAGGAGAAUUAGGCCUUAACUAGCUUGUUGUAUGGAAAUCGCUUCACAGGUUGCUCCAAUCAAAAUUUAAACAAAUAAAUUCCUCUGCUGUAGACCAUCAUCACAUUGGAACACGCAAGCGGAAUGUGAAGUGAACACAUGCUGAAUCCUUGGUUUCGUAAAGGCAACGGCGUCAUAUCCAGCCUUAUAUGUAGCAAACACCACCGGUUCUGGUUUUAUGUGAAUAGAUAAGAUAUAUAGAUAUAUGUACACUUACAUGCGUCUAUACAACUAUGUUAUAACAUUACCAUAUUGAUAGAUUAUACAGAUCAUCUAAUAAUUAAAGAAAAGAGAGUAAGGGUUGGUUUGGUAGGCAGUAUGAGAGUUGUUUUGUAUUAAAUAAUAAAUAAUAUGAUAUUUGGAUAAAGUGAUGUAUUAUAUUAAUUAUUAUGAUUAAAAUUUUUAAUACAA